AUCAUGCGGUCAGAAAUCAUUGUAAAUUUUUCUUUUUUAAAUUGAAUAUAAACAGCUUUCGUCAGAUAUUGUUUAUAUUCAAUUUUAAAUAAAAAAUUUAUAAUAAUUUUUAACUUUGAGAAUCCCAUCAUCCUCACAAAAAGAUGCAGCGAGGAUCCUCAUGAAAUUCUUCUUUUAACACUAGGAAAUGGAAAAGUAUACUCAGUUGGAAGGUGCCCUUGGGAGGCCAUGCUGAUGGAGAUAGAGAUGGGAGAGGGAGAGGGAGUGGGAGAGAGGGAGACAGAAACAGAGCGACAGAGAGAGAAGGAAAGGGAAGAGUGGGCAUCUCAGCGCCAUUGCUGCAGAUCCUUGAUCUUCUUCGAUCCCAUCUCCGUGUUCUUCUCAGCCUCUCACAGUCGCAGCAUCACUCGCUCACUCACUCGCUCACUCACUCACUCACUCACUACAGAUCGUGUCAAAGGCUGGGCAUCCAGCUGCUUUGCUCCUCUCCAUCUGAUGUUGCCCCCUUGGCAUUUCUAUCACCACUGUGAAAGGGCUGGAGCUUUUUGAUGUCAAACUUAGGGAUGCUUCAAAGAAAUUGGGGAAAGAGUUUGCGACCGGAGCCUCUGUUGUUAAGAUUCUCAUUCGGUUGCUGUUUUAAAUUUGGGCUUUCAUUUGGUUGAGCAUCCUUCUCUCCAAAAGAUUUUAUUUUGAAGUCUGAAUAUGCGAAUAGAACCAUAUAAUUAUGGGACCGAACCAGUGCACCGAUCAAAGACGUUAAGGCUGCUCUCAUUGAUAGCAAUUGGGACAUUGAGGCUGCGCAGAAGGAAUUGAGGAGGAGAGGGAAGGUUUUGGCGUCGAAAAAGUCAUCUCGGAUGGCUGCUGAGGGCUUGCUGGCUCUGGCUCAGAAUGAGAACAAGGCUGCUAUUAUUGAAGUUAACUGUGACACUGACUUUGUUGCUCGAAAUGAUAUCUUUCAAUACUUGUCUUUGAAGUUGGAGGCUUUUGCUCUGUUGGGUUUUUUUCCAGUAACUCGAAGGGCCGAAAGUGGUGCUUUUUAGGGUUUAGCUAUUUGAUUUCACAGAUUCAUUACAGACACAGUAAAUAGGUAUAUCACUAUGGAAGAACUAGAGCAAGUCCUACACGAAUACGGCUUGCAUGGUGAAUUUUAAUAUUUCCAGGUACAACCGUAUCUCACUCCCUCUGUGAUUGACUUCUUUGGUGUUCAUUUUUUGAUGUUUUCUCAGUGGUAUGGUGACUGCCAGAAUUACUGGGUUUUCAAUUUUAUUAGAAUCGAUUUUUAAGUCGCCGGACUCUAAGGGACACCAUCCAUCAAGAGUAUCGUAAUGUUGUCGAGAGGCAAGUUUUUACAGUGAUGGGCACAAGAGCUGAUGAAGAGACAAUUGAAAGAUUAGUCGAGACAAGAGACACUGAACAAAAUUUCCAGAAGCCAAU